rnacentral:lncRNA from 1 species
CCAGGAGAUGGUAACAAUUGGGGUCAUGAGGGGAUAUGACUGCUACAAUCUCCCAUCAUCAAAAACAAAAACAGGAAUCUACACUCGGCUGGGAAGUGAGAGACUCAAAACAACGUGAGAAGUAGAAAGCGGGCAAGUUUGUUGGGGCCAUAUGUAACUUCAUGAAUAUCACUGUUUCAAGGACUAAGUUAUAAGUUUUACCCUUUUCAGAUAAGGAAAACAGAGUGUGAGUGGGGUUAGAAAGAGGAAAAACAGCAAGCCAAGUUGAAUCACUCAUCCUGAGAGGCAUUCAAAUACAGAGUUAUGGAGAAAGCGACUUUCCUCCACAAGGGUAAACCCCUCAACAGCAGCUGGUAAACCUCAGUCCACAGCGCAGAGUGUGAGAAAGGGAAGAUUUCAAACAACUUAAAUACAAAGAAAACACUUUUUUAAAACAUUAGUGAUUCUUUUCCACAUUUCCCUUUAGGCUCUAUUCAUACGGAAAAUAUUCCGCUACACCUCACAGCAAUAUAUCUUAUUUUUUUUAAUAUGCAGCAACCGUCAGCCAACUCAUAGCUGAAGCAGGGACACUGUGCAGCUCUUGGAGCUUGUUCUUAGUAUGUGUUCAGAGGGCUAAUACUCUGUCAAGCAGGGCGGAUGAUAGCCAGAGCAAACAGCCACGGUCCCCACGGUGGAAAAUAACGUUGCCAGAAAAUUCCGCACAUCUGGAAAGAACAGCAAUGAACAGGAACUUGUGCAUUCGUGCUAGGCUCCUACUGGGCCCGCUUCGUUUCAUUUCCUCCAUUUUUAUGACACUUUCCCAUGCUGCUACUCCAGACAUUCCAUCAAACACCUCGCCACGAACAAAUUGAAAGGGAAGGAAAUCUAAAGAAAGUCUGACUGAAUUUCUGAGUGUCUCAUCACUAGAAUGACCAGGAAAACCUGCCAGGAGUGUAGAUUCAGGCCCCUAAUCCCACUUCUCUGCAGUCUCCUCUUGGUCUCUGUGUAUAAGCUCUCCUGCCUUUUUGCACCUCUAAUCCAUUGUCAGACAAACUGGCCUACUUGUGUUUGCCUCUGAGAGCCUGUCCACUUCCUCACGUUAGGAGAAAGAACACAAAGAAUCCUAGCUUUGAUUCAGUUUUCCAUACUUCAGCCAUCAGUCUACCAUCAAGCACAUUUUUUACUGGGCAAAUGAAAAGUCAUUGCUUUCAAUUUUUUUUUUUUUUUUUUAGACUGAAU